ACUCACUCUUCUCUCUCUUGCUGCCUUGUGAAGAAGGUGACUGCUUCCCCUUCUGCCAUGAUUAUGAGUUUCCUGAGGCCUCCCCAGCCAUGCGGAACUGAAUCCAUGCUCCACAGCAGUUCCCAGCAAGCUGCACUCUUCGAAGGCGGGAUGCUGAAACCUCUGCCCCCACCCCCUACAUUAGCUUUAUAUCCAAAUGUGACUCGGAGGCUGGUGAGCUCAAGGUGAUCAAUGACAGCUCCAAUCAAAGCCACCCAGUAGACAGUGCACUCACCACUCCUUGAUAUAAAAGGUGUUUUAUUUCUCAUCCUUUUAUUUUUGUCACUGAAAGAAUGCUUCCCAUGUGUGGAUUAAUUAAAGUGUAAACAUUAAAUAUUGAUUGAUGCAUUAUCAGCAUGGA
rnacentral:lncRNA from 1 species